AACGAACGCUGGCGGCAUGCCUAACACAUGCAAGUCGAACGAGUCCUUCGGGUCUAGUGGCGCACGGGUGCGUAACGCGUUGGAACCUGCCCUUCGGUUCGGAAUAACUCCCCGACAGGUGUGCUAAUACCGUAUAAUGUCUUCGGACCAAAGAUUUAUCGCCUUUGGAUGGGCCCGCGUUGGAUUAGCUACUUGGUAGGGUAAAAGCCUACCACGGCGACGAUCCAUAGCUGGUCUGAGAGGAUGAUCAGCCACACUGGGACUGAGACACGGCCCAGACACCUGCGGGAGGCAGCAGUGGGGAAGAUUGGACCAUGGGCGAAAGCCUGAUCCAGCAACGCCGCGUGAGUGAUGAAGGCCGUAGGGUUGUAAAGCUCUUUUACCCGCGACGAUAAUGACAGUACCGGGAGAAUAAGCUCCGGCUAACUCCGUG
rnacentral:rRNA from 1 species